rnacentral:rRNA from 1 species
CCUACGGGCGGCAGCAGUGGGGAAUAUUGCACAAUGGGCGCAAGCCUGAUGCAGCCAUGCCGCGUGUGUGAAGAAGGCCUUCGGGUUGUAAAGCACUUUCAGCGGGGAGGAAGGCGUCAAGGUUAAUAACCUUGUCGAUUGACGUUACCCGCAGAAGAAGCACCGGCUAACUCCGUGCCAGCAGCCGCGGUAAUACGGAGGGUGCAAGCGUUAAUCGGAAUUACUGGGCGUAAAGCGCACGCAGGCGGUCUGUCAAGUCGGAUGUGAAAUCCCCGGGCUCAACCUGGGAACUGCAUUCGAAACUGGCAGGCUAGAGUCUUGUAGAGGGGGGUAGAAUUCCAGUGUAGCGGUGAAAUGCGUAGAGAUCUGGAGGAAUACCGGUGGCGAAGGCGGCCCCCUGGACAAAGACUGACGCUCAGGUGCGAAAGCGUGGGGAGCAAACAGGAUUAGAUACCCGAGUAGUC